UUGGCAAUCAUCGAACAGAUUUGCAAAUUUGAUCGGGAACUUUUGAGAAACAUAAGCACUUUUGAACAAACUUGAAAGUAUUACGCGAAAAGGUUGAGAUAAAUCGAAUGUAACAUGCUCCAAUGCACCACAGUUAUGAGGAAGAGAUGAACACUUGUGCUAUGUGGCUACAUCUUUGAUAAUCAAAUACCAAAGAAUGAGUUAUUACCGUCAACAAAUUUAUAGUGUAUGAUAAUCAAGCUAGAAGAAGGAUAACAGCUGGUAUUUGGCAAUUUUUAUAUAUCUACGAACUGACGAGCUUCGAUGUACAACGUACUUUUCACCAAGAAAUGACCAGAACGCAUCUCUCUGUCGGUACCAGACCUCUGACGUAGUUUUUCCCGCUAAUUCCGAUAAUUACCAUAGAUCCACGAGGCAAAGAUUUGCCGUGCUUCCUAGAGUAUCCCAUCAAGUCAAAUAGAAAUGUUAGUUAGCAUAAUAAAAUAUAAUAAUGACCUCUUUCCUGAAUAAGUUUAAAUCAUUUUAAGAUUUUUACAUUUCUGAUCUCUAUGAAGGCUUAUUUUUGUUAAAACUGAUAAUUUUAUGUCAACAGACACAAUAGAAAAACAGUUGUCCAAUUAUAUGUAAUGCAUAUUAAAGAGCAUUUCAUAUAACCAAUCAAAAACCAUAAAACAUUUUGUAUGAAACAUGUUUAGCUCCUAAGUUAAACAUAAAGUACUACUUGAAUAAGAACAUGACAAACUCUG